GUAGGUCCAUCAUUCACAUCUGAGCAAGGGAAGGCGGUGGACGAGGACCAGCAGGCGGAGCACACCACCACCACCGCCACCAGUGCGCAUCACCAGCACAGUCUGGAGGAUAGGAGGAAAUGUUGUUCCAGAUUCCAAGCUUGAAAAUCCAAGGCAAAUAGACUUGUAGAUGUCUGGUGUUGCAUUGUUAGAAUCUGGAAGUGUGGAUCCUCACUCCUUGAUCAAGCAGCAGCAGUGGCAGCAGUCAUUGCUGCCCAGAGGAGAGGAUGCAUCAGGAUGCAUCUGAGAGUGCUCACUGGCUGCCGGAGGCGAUAUGUCACUGAUUCAAUGUAACACGCAAGGCAGCCAAUCACAGGAAGGCUUUGUGUUAUCACCAAGAAUGCCAUGAGACAUUGUUUAUAAACUGUUAUGUGCCCACAGCCACCAAUCAUCAUAGUAUUCCAGGGAGUAAAAAAUAAUGGCUAAUGAUUUCCAUAAAAACAAGAACCAUAUUGAUUCAAAACAGGCCAAAAAAUACGAGAAAUAAAUAGUUUCAUCCACAUUAGAAAACUGGUGGGAGUAAAAAUUAGCCCAUUAGCAUAUUUGCUUAUUAUUUUAUCUUGACCAAACUGUAAAUUGCAUAUGGAAUUUAGUUAACUAAUGUUUUGGACACUGCUUUAAGUAAUAUGACCAAAUUCCCUAAAUGACUUUGUUGCAUAAUGGGAGAUAAAAAUUUUCUUUCUGCUCACCCUUUGGGAUCCAAACUUCUAGAAAAAAGAAAAUCAUUUUAAACAUGUUCUUCAUUGUUGAGGUUAAAUAUAUGUUCUACAUUGUUGAGGAAGAGUUAGGUUAGGGUAGGUUGUUAGGUUGGUUAGCUAGGUCGGACUGAUGGUAGCAAUGCUUAAAACCCCUCCAAAGUUUGCUGUUGUGUACAUGUUGUAAUUUAAUGUUGCUGUGUAAAAUUUAUCCAGAUAGUUGAUAACCAUAACUAAGAAACUGCUAAGCACUGGAUUAUAGAUAGCAGUGUGUACAGUAAGUACCUGUGGCAGUCAGGUCUGAGAUGGUGACCACUGCAGUAAUUAAAAUCUUCAAGAUGAGCACUUACGCAUUCAAGUAUUACAACAGGUGGACUUAGUUCCAUGCAGGUGAAGGACCUCCAGAGGACACCACCUACACUGUUGUCCUGCGGACACUGUCACUAACAGCUGUUUGCAGAACUGCCAGUCCCUGACAAGAGAGUCUGGCUCUCUGUGAGGACCACAGCCAUCCACCCACCAGCAGUAGUGUUAGAGUCAUCCAGCCCUCAUCUGCUGGUGUUGCUAGGGCCUCUGGAUUCAUUGUUGCUGUGGGUGCAUCAUGUGAAGUUUUAGCAGUGGACAUCAGUGUUUGAAGUCAUCCAUCUUACAGAUGACAUCACCCAGUGGUGAAUAACUGUUGCCACUCAUUCAUGUUAACAUGUAUUCAAUUUUGUUCUUCAGUGCAUACCUAUGAACAUUGUAUGUACAUUUAGCAUAUGAGCCAUACUUUUGAAUGGUCUGUAUUACAGUUGAUUAAUAUGGUAAUUAAAUGCCUUAUUUGUGCAGUACAUUAUUA